UACGUAGGUGGCGAGCGUUGUCCGGAAUUACUGGGCGUAAAGGAUGCGUAGGCGGACAUUUAAGUCAGAUGUGAAACCCCCAGGCUUAACUUGGGGACUGCAUUUGAAACUGGGUGUCUAGAGUGCAGGAGAGGUAAGUGGAAUUCCUAGUGUAGCGGUGAAAUGCGUAGAGAUUAGGAAGAACACCAGUGGCGAAGGCGACUUACUGGACUGUAACUGACGCUGAGGCAUGAAAGCGUGGGUAGCAAACAGGAUUAGAUACC
rnacentral:rRNA from 1 species